GCCCAGUCGUAAACUUUUACUUACAUUUUAAUCGCCAGGGAACUACGAGCUAAGCUUAAAACCCAAAGGACUUGACGGUACCCCACAUCCCCCUAGAGGAGCCUGUCCUAUAAUCGAUAAUCCACGUUUAACCUCACCAUUUUUAGCUAAUCAGCCUGUAUACCUCCGUCGUCAGCUUACCACGUGAGCGCCAAUUAGUGAGCCUAAUGUUAUUUCACCCACACGUCAGGUCAAGGUGCAGCAAAUGAAAUGGGAAGAGAUGGGCUACACUUUCUACUAUAGAAGAAACGAAAAACUACCUAUGAAACCUAGUUGGAAGGCGGAUUUAGCAGUAAAAAGGAAUCAGCAUAUCCAUUUUAACCCGGCACUGGGGUGUGU
rnacentral:rRNA from 1 species